AGAGCGAACGCUGGCGGCAGGCCUAACACAUGCAAGUCGAGCGCCCGUAGCAAUACGGGAGCGGCAGACGGGAUAGUAACACGUGGGAACGCGCCCUUCGGUUCGGAAUAACUCAGGGAAACUUGAGCUAAUACCGGAUACGCCCUUACGGGGAAAGAUUUAUUGCCGAAGGAACGGCCCGCGUCUGAUUAGCUAGUUGGUGAGGUAAUGGCUCACCAAGGCGACGAUCGGUAGCUGGUCUGAGAGGAUGACCAGCAUCACUGGGACUGAGACACGGCCCAGACUCCUACGGGAGGCAGCAGUGGGGAAUAUUGGACAAUGGGCGCAAGCCUGAUCCAGCCAUGCCGCGUGGAUGAUGAAGGCCCUAGGGUUGUAAAGUCCUUUCGACGGGGAAGAUAAUGACGGUACCGUAGAAGAGCCCGGCUAACUGUCGCCAGCAGCCGC
rnacentral:rRNA from 1 species